rnacentral:rRNA from 1 species
GGGCCCGCACAAGCGGUGGAGCAUGUGGUUUAAUUCGAAGCAACGCGAAGAACCUUACCAAGGCUUGACAUCUUUUUGACCGUAAUAGAGAUAUUACUUUCCUUCGGGACAGAAAUGACAGGUGGUGCAUGGUUGUCGUCAGCUCGUGUCGUGAGAUGUUGGGUUAAGUCCCGCAACGAGCGCAACCCUUAUCCUUAGUAGCCAUCAUUAAGUUGGGCACUCUAGGGAGACUGCCGUGGAUAACACGGAGGAAGGUGGGGAUGACGUCAAAUCAUCAUGCCCCUUAUGUCUUGGGCUACACACGUGCUACAAUGGCUGGAAACAAAGUGAAGCGACACGGUGACGUUAAGCAAAAUCACAAAAACCCAGUCUCAGUUCGGAUUGUAGUCUGCAACUCGACUACAUGAAGCUGGAAUCGCUAGUAAAUCGCGAAAUCAGAAUGUCG